GAUGAAAGCGAGGAGGUGAUUAUGAAAGGAUCAUCCACACGGCGAUUUUAUCUGGACUAUUUUCUCGCCACGCAGGAUGCAUGCUGGCUCGCCUGUCAGAGCGCAAGGCUGCGCCUGAAAAUGCUGGAAGAAUUGAUGCAGUGGGACGUGACAACGCCGAUCCGGAAAGGCUGAUUCGCGGCCAUCAUGUGUGACUGAGUAUUAGGUGCUAAUCACCUGCGCCAGCAAAAUCUUUUUUGCUGGCUUUUUUC
rnacentral:sRNA from 1 species